ACUUCUAAGGUUCCGGGAAGCGAGAACGUGAUACGCGGUGGUGAGAGCAUAUAGGUGUGGACAUGCUUCUCCUCGGCGCUAAGAUUAUUCCGUUCUUUAUACUCAUGAUCAUCGGAGUUUUUAAACAAAAUCCAGUGUCUAAUCUCAGAGUUUUCAUACUUUUGUUUCCAAAUCUUUAUUUUAACUUCCUGCAGUGAAGUGGUUGAGAACUGUAAUAGUAGUGCACAAGCCGCAGGGUUGCUUCUCAGAGUAACUA
rnacentral:lncRNA from 1 species